GAGCUUUAACUAACCAACCCAAAGAGAAUAGAUUUAACCAUUAAGGAAUAACAACAAUCUCCAUGAGUUGGUAGUUUCGGUUGGGGUGACCUCGGAGAAUAAAAAAUCCUCCGAGCGAUUUUAAAGACUAGACCCACAAGUCAAAUCACUCUAUCGCUCA
rnacentral:rRNA from 1 species